rnacentral:rRNA from 1 species
GACGAACGCUGGCGGCGUGCUUAACACAUGCAAGUCGAACGGAAAGGCCCUGCUUUUGUGGGGUGCUCGAGUGGCGAACGGGUGAGUAACACGUGAGUAACCUGCCCUUGACUUUGGGAUAACUUCAGGAAACUGGGGCUAAUACCGGCUAGGUGCUCCUGCUGCAUGGUGGGGGUUGGAAAGUUUCGGCGGUUGGGGGUGGACUCGCGGCUUAUCAGCUUGUUGGUGGGGUAGUGGCUUACCCAGGCUUUGACGGGUAGCCGGCCUGAGAGGGUGGACGGGCACAUGGGGACUGAGGUACGGACCAGACUCCUACGGGAGGCAGCAGGGGGGAACAUGGCACAGUGGGCGGAAGCCUGAGGCAGCGACGCCGCGUGCGGGAUGACGGCCUACUGGGUGGAAACCGCUGUCGCCUGUGACGAAGCGGGAGUGACGGUAAUGGGUAAAGAAGCACCGGCUAACUACGUG